rnacentral:rRNA from 1 species
AGCAGCCGCGGUAAUUCCAGCUCCAAUAGCGUAUAUUAAAGUUGUUGCAGUUAAAAAGCUCGUAGUUGAAUUUCGGGGUUAGUAGGUUGGUCAUGCCUCUGGUAUGUACUGGUCUCACUGAUUCCUCCUUCCUGAUGAACCGUAAUGCCAUCAAUUUGGUGUUGCGGGGAAUUUGGACUGUUACUUUGAAAAAUUAGAGUGUUUAAAGCAAGCUAACGCUUGAAUACAUUAGCAUGGAAUAAUGAAAUAGGACGUUCGAUCCUAUUUUGUUGGUUUCUAGGAUUGACGUAAUGAUUAAUAGGGAUAGUUGGGGGCAUUAGUAUUCAAUUGUCAGAGGUGAAAUUCUUGGAUUUAUUGAAGACUAACUACUGCGAAAGCAUUUGCCAAGGAUGUUUUCAUUAACCAAGAACGAAAGUUAGGGGAUCGAAGACGAUCAGAUACCGUCGUAGUCUUAACCAUAAACUAUGCCGACUAGGGAUCGGAUGAUGUUAAUUUUUUAAUGUACUCAUUCGGCGCCUUA